rnacentral:lncRNA from 1 species
AUGGUUAUUUCCCUGGGAGGAUUUCCUGCUCUCACGCGGUCCUCAGCCUCCAGUUCAGCCGCGCGCUGCUCAGUCUCCAGUUCAGCCGCGCGCUGCUCAGUCUCCAGUUCAGCCGCGCGCUGCUCAGCCUCCAAGUCAGCCGCGCGCUGCUCAGCCUCCAAGUCAGCCGCGCGCUGCUCAGUCUCCAGAUCAGCCGCGCGCUGCUCAGUUUCCAGUUCAGCCGCGCGCUGCUCAGUCUCCAGAUCAGCCGCGCGCUGCUCAGUCUCCAGUUCAGCCGCGCGCUGUUCAAUCUCCAGCUCAAUCGUGCUUUGCCCAGUCUCCAGCUCAAUCGUGUUUUGCCCAGUCUCCUGCUCAAUCGUGUUUUCCCCAGUCUCCAGCCCAAGCUCCAGACGCCGCGGUCCCGUUUCACCAUGCGACUGUCCGUCGUUUGAGGCGCUGGGCGCGGUGUGGACCGGACCUCUGUACCGGGAUCCGCAUGGUGAAACGGGGCCGCGGCGUCUGGAGCUUGGGCUGGAGACUGGGGAAAACACGAUUGAGCAGGAGACUGGGCAAAGCACGAUUGAGCUGGAGAUUGAACAGCGCGCGGCUGAACUGGAGACUGAGCAGCGCGCGGCUGAUCUGGAGACUGAGCAGCGCGCGGCUGAACUGGAAACUGAGCAGCGCGCGGCUGACUUGGAGGCUGAGCAGCGCGCGGCUGAACUGGAGACUGAGCAGCGCGCGGCUGAACUGGAGACUGAGCAGCGCGCGGCUGACUUGGAGGCUGAGCAGCGCGCGGCUGAACGGGAGACUGAGCAGCGCGCGGCUGAACUGGAGGCUGAGGACCGCGUGAGAGCAGGAAAUCCUCCCAGGGAAAUAACCAUGGAGCUGGGCAGGUUGGUGCAGGCACGACGAUCCGACGAGGCGGAGAGGAUGAAACCGAAACCAUACUUCCGCGGGGGAGUUAUAUUUGCCGUAAAAAACAAGGGGAAAAACAGUCACUGACCUGACCGGAGGCUAAGUGCUGGCUGGGUCCAAGUGUGGCCAGAUUGUUCUGUCAGGGACUCGGGCAGGCGGCGAACCCACAUGCACAGCACAGAGGCAGGAUUACGAUCAGAAAGGUUUAUUCUUAAGGCACGGUCAGACGGUCCAGGUCAUACACGAAAUGGCUCGACAAAAGUACAGGCAGGGAACAGGCAAAAACUCACGGUCAGUAGAUACUCCAGGGUCAGGCAGGAUACAUGGUGCAAACAGGAAUAAACACGAAAAACACGAACA